rnacentral:rRNA from 1 species
GACAGAGGAUGCAAGCGUUAUCCGGAAUGAUUGGGCGUAAAGCGUCUGUAGGUGGCUUUUUAAGUCUGCCGUCAAAUCCCAGGGCUUAACCCUGGACAGGCGGUGGAAACUACCAAGCUGGAGUACGGUAGGGGCAGAGGGAAUUUCCGGUGGAGCGGUGAAAUGCGCAGAUAUCAGGAGGAACACCGAUGGCGAAGGCAGGUCUCUGGGCCACUACUGACGCUGAGAAGCGAAAGCAUGGGGAGCGAACAGG